GCUUUCAUCUACAGCAAAACACACAGUCCUGUACAUAGCUUAAUGGUUGGAGCUCCAGGCACUAACACUGGCCGGGUCUGCUCCGAGGUCACUGAAACCCAACCAGCUGCAGUGAUGCAGACAACAACAUUGCUGUCGUCCUGCAGCAGAUGGCUGUGCUCUGCCACCCCCUGCUCCCACAAUGCACUGGGGUCCCAUGUGGGAGUUAAACCAAGGCAAAAAACUGCAUACAUCUCACCUGUAGUGAGAACUAGAUGCAAUCACAUUUACAUAUUCAUCUUUGCUUU